rnacentral:rRNA from 1 species
UACGGAGGGUGCAAGCGUUAUCCGGAAUCACUGGGUUUAAAGGGUGUGUAGGCGGUUUGAUAAGUCAGUUUUGAAAUUCCCCGGCUUAACCGGGCGGAGGGCGAUUGAUACUGUUAGACUUGAAUCAGGUUGAGGUAAGCGGAAUGUGACAUGUAGCGGUGAAAUGCUUAGAUAUGUCAUAGAACACCGAUUGCGGAGGCAGCUUGCUGGGCUUAGAUUGACGCUGAGGCGCGAAAGCGUGGGGAGCAAACAGG